rnacentral:rRNA from 1 species
GACGAACGCUGGCGGCGUGCCUAAUACAUGCAAGUUGAGCGCUGAAGGUUGGUACUUGUACCAACUGGAUGAGCAGCGAACGGGUGAGCAACGCGUGGGGAAUCUGCCUUUGAGCGGGGGACAACAUUUGGAAACGAAUGCUAAUACCGCAUAAAAACUUUAAACACAAGUUUUAAGUUUGAAAGAUGCAAUUGCAUCACUCAAAGAUGAUCCCGCGUUGUAUUAGCUAGUUGGUGAGGUAAAGGCUCACCAAGGCGAUGAUACAUAGCCGACCUGAGAGGGUGAUCGGCCACAUUGGGACUGAGACACGGCCCAAACUCCUACGGGAGGCAGCAGUAGGGAAUCUUCGGCAAUGGACGAAAGUCUGACCGAGCAACGCCGCGUGAGUGAAGAGGGUUUUCGGAUCGUAAAACUCUGUUGGUAGAGAAGAACGUUGGUGAGAGUGGAAAGCUCAUCAAGUGACGGUAACUACCCAGAAAGGGACGGCUAACUACGUG